UACGGGGGGGGGCAAGCGUUGUUCGGAAUUACUGGGCGUAAAGGGCUCGUAGGCGGCCAACUAAGUCGGACGUGAAAUCCCCAGGCUCAACCCUGGGAACUGCGUCCGAUACUGGAUGGCUUGAAUCCGGGAGAGGGAUGCAGAAUUCCAGGUGUAGCGGUGAAAUGCGUAGAUAUCUGGAGGAAUACCGGUGGCGAAGGCGGCAUCCUGGACCGGCAUUGACGCUGAGGAGCGAAAGCCAGGGGAGCAAAGCAGG
rnacentral:rRNA from 1 species